rnacentral:lncRNA from 1 species
GCACCGCGCACAGGCUGUGCCAAAGUCCACAGGCACCCUUCGGCCUCCAUCAUCGCGCCCUCUUCACAGAUGAGCAAACGGAGGCCAGACGUCACCGGCAGGCGGCGCUGCGGUGCGCGAGGCCUCGCACCUGCACGGGAAGCAGCGGAGAGGACGCAGGCACUCCUGAUACUUCCCAUGGUUGAAACAGAAAUGGGUCUCCUGCCAGUGAACCCAAGAGGAUGAGGAAGUUGGUUUACCACCUUGAUCUUAUUUUUUCCAGUAUUUUUCCAACUUGCUACAGUAACAGAACCUUUGGUCCAGAGCCUGGGAUGUUGCCUUUUGCCCACUGGAAUUCCCAUCUUGGAAGAGUAAGCGCAGGGGAUUGUCCAGACAGCCAGGAGGCCAGCGAAGCCAAGUCCUUCAGUACAGCCUGGGAGCCUCCAGGAAGCUGUUAGGAGUUGCCAUGAUGGGUGCAUUUGGACUCACAGAAUCUGCCUUCCAAUCUCAGUGCUGCUUCUACUCCUUUGCUACCUUAGGUCUUUGAAGACAGGUCCAUACCUUGGGUGUUUGUAUUUGGACAACCACAGACAUUGCCAAGAAAUGUAUCUGUUCUACUUGCACACCUUCACCACCUGGAUGCUGCUUGAGGACACAGAUCUGGUCCAUCAGAUUUCUCUCUGUACUCCUCUCUAUAUUUCGCCAUAUUUGAUAUAGACCCAUCAAUGGCUCCCUAGAAUAAAAUCUCAACUCUUCACUGUGCCCACAGCCCCAGUGACCUUGCCACUUCCAUCAGAGCCCUCACACCAGUGCCCAGACAUACAGACUGACCUCCUGACCAUCCCCCAGAUGUGCUAAGGCCGGUUCUGCUUCUGGACUUCUGAACAGACAUGUUUGGUAAACCCAAACAUUUCAGAUGGUGAAUAGCUCUGAAAGCAAAGUAAGACAGGGUAGGGCAGGAAGGACUUCCAGCAAAGUCACCCCAGGCUGGCCCCUUUC